AACUAAGUUUAUUAUUGGUAUGAGCUUUCAUGUGCAUGCACACUUCUUCAGAUACUUCUUCAGGUGUGCAUGCACACGAAAGCUCAUACCAAUAACAAACUUAGUUGG